CCAGGUACUCAGCCUUCCUCCACUGAACGGGCACAAUCUGACUCCCCAGGGCCCAGCUAUGACAUCACAAAGCCUCCUUUUUCUUUCAUGUCUUUUGUGCCUUUCUCUGUGGCAUAUCCUUGCAGUUCCAAGGAAAUAUCCCUCUGCCGUGAGAACUGCCCUGCCUCCAGCCAGGGAAACAGAUGUGGAAAAGUCAAUGGUCAUUAACCAGUCAGUCCCUAGUCCAGGAUGAGGGCCCAGAUUCCAGACUGGGAAGGAGGCUGGCAGAGACAAGCAUUUGGAUGGAUCCCACCACAGGGAUCAGUUGUGACACAAGGGACACGGUUCAGGUCUGCAGACUUCGUAGUAAAGAAGGGUAGAAACUCAUGCCAAAUCAUGAAGCCAAGAUUCAGAUAAGGAAAAUUUGAAGGACUGCAG